GAUAACUAAAAAUCAAAGGGGAAGAGCGGAGAGGGGCCGCUGGCGAGGAAUGGGAUGGAGCAGGAGAAGAAGGACAAAGUGGAAAAGAGGAUGGAGAGAAAGGGGAGGAGGAAGGAUAGAUUGCUGGCAAGAAGGGAUGGAGGUGGAGAGGGCCACCAUAAAGAGGGAUAGCUUAUGGGCACCUUAGAGGAGGAGGAUGAAAAGGAGAAAUAGAUGAAGAGGAAGAGGAGGAGAUAGAGGAAUGGAUAGAGAUAGAGGAAGCCACUAUGAAGGAAGAGAAAUGGAUGAGAAGGGAAGGGGGAAGGAUGGCAUGCCACUAAGAAGAGGUAGAUGUAGAGGGGG
rnacentral:lncRNA from 1 species